rnacentral:lncRNA from 9 species
CCCUAGCCUGGGAACUUCCAUACGCCCCCUACCAGGCUCAGAAAACCUCAGUGACCAAGAGUUUAGGUGAGGAACGUUUCAAGUGAGAACAGUUACCAGCAGGGGUGGUGCCCAGGUCUCUUAUGGUCCCCGGGAUGCGUGGCUGGGAGGGUCCGGUGGUGGGCUGAACACCCUCAGUUUCACUUGAGCUGGACUCUGUGGUGGUGCUGGCUGAGGGGCAGAGUCUUCACUGGAGCGGAUGGGGGUCCUUGCCUCCCAUUUAACUUCAUCCGCAGUUUCAGUCAUUGUCCCUGUGGACAGUGUGACAGGUCAGCUCCCAAAUCUGAAACUGCUCUUGUCGCAGAGCCAUUUAACCCUCAUUUAAGGGAGUUCCCAUUGCAGCACAGAGGGUUAUGAACCUGACUAAUAUCCGAGAGGAUGCAGGUUUGAUUCCUGGCCUCCCUCAGUGGGUUAAGGAUCUGGUGUUGCCACAAGCUGCAGCGCAGGUUACAAAUGAACCCGAGUUGCUGUGGAAGUGGUGUAGGCCGGCAGGUGCAGCUCCAAUUCGACCUCUAGCCUGGGAACUUCCAUAUGCUGCAGGUGCAACCGUAAAAAGCAAACAAAACCAAAAACAAACACAAACAAAAAAAAAUCCCCCACUCAUUUAAGAAUGAGUUAAUACUAACUAGGAUCACUGCCAAAUAACUUUCUUUUUCCUUUUUUUUUUUCCUUCUCAAGGAGUAUGUACUUAUUGCUAAUAGAUUAAAAAAUACAGACAAAAAAGAAGUAAAGCAAAACCUCUCGUUAUCUUGCUGCCCAGAGGCAACCAUCUGAGCAUGUGUUUUGGGGGGCCUUCUUUCUGUUAGAUUUCACUCCCAUAGAAUAGGUACUGUUCUUAGCGGCUUUACGUAUCUGAUCUUAUCAACUCUUCCCAAUCUGCAAAGUAUGAAAACCCCCAUGUUACAGAAAAGGGAACCGAAACUCUUGAGAGUCUGCGCAAUUUCACCAGCUGUGCUCUAACCAUCAUAUAUACUGUGUGUUAUAAAUGUGUAAGUAUUUCACGAAUUCUUUUUAAAAGUUUUCGUUGGGGUGUAGUUGAUUUCCAAUGUUGUGUUAGUUUCAGGUGAACAGCAAAGUGAGUGAGUUAUACAUAUACAUACAUCCAUUCUUUUUCAGAUUCUUUUCCCAUAUAGGUUAUUACUGAAUAUUGAGUAGUGUUUCCUGGGCUAUAAGUAGGUCCUCAUUACUUAUCUAUUUUAUAUAUAGUGGUGUGUAUAUGUUAAUCCCAACCCCUUAAUUUAUUCCUCCCCCAACGUUUCCCCUUUGGUAACCAUCCAUAAGUUUGGCUUUGAAAUCUUUGAGUCUGUUUCUGUUUUGUAAAAAGUUCAUUUGUAUCAUUUUUUUAAAGAUGCCACAUAUAAGUGAUAUAUGGUAUUUGUCUUUGUCCGAUGUAGUGUGAUCAUCUCUAGGUCCAUCUGUGUUGCUGCAAAUGGUAUUGUUUUGUUCUUUUUUAUGGCUGAGUAAUAUUCCAUUAUCUUUCAUGACUUCUUAUUGAGGAUCUCUUCCUAACAUAUCCUGCUGUAGUGAGGGCCUAUGCAGAGUGGUGAAACUGUAGGGGCAGCAUGGGUCCAGGUUUUGUGGGGCCUGAUGCUUCUGCCAUGUUGGUUUCUUUUUAAGAAGAAUAUAAACUUCGAAGUACAGAAGUAGAUGCAAAAGUGAAUCUUUGCUUAGAAUGGGAAGAGGCAUUGCAACUUUGGAAAUCCAGGUCCUUUUUCCCUCUGGGCUCUCUUUGGCCAGUUGGCCAGAAAAGCUUAUACUCAAAAGGCAUCACCAUCAGAUUGUCAUGUGGCUCUUCCUUCAUGAGCAGAAAGACUGUACCCUCCCCUGGGCCAGUGUGUAGAGGGUCCUGCUGCUUACGCCUCACUGGCUGCCAGAGGUGGCCGGGGUCGGGGGGAGCAGGGCUGGGUACCCUGGGGCCCAGGGCUGGGCCAGGGGAGGAGGCCCCUCUUCUGAGCUGAGCCUGGGGGUCUGGGGAUCAUGCAGCAGGAGAGGAACCAUUCCUAUCCCGCCCCACGACGGUGCAGACAUCUGCUGGCAUUUUCUUCUUGUAACCUUCUGGUUUCAUGUUUUAUCUUCGUCACAUCCAUUUUAAUCUGGUGAAUGUUUUGGGGUGGGGAUCUAAUUUAUUAUUAUUUUUUCCAAGUUUUAACCAGGUGCUUCAAUCCAUUGGUCACUCAUUGGUCUUGCUGCACUGAUUUGAAAUGCCACUUUUACUGCAUAUUAAAUGACGAAUUAUACUUGAAUCUGUUUCUGGCUUGUCCUUUCUGUUGCAUUGAUAGACUCCCCCCACCCCAGGCCACUGCUCAGUCAAUCACUGAACUUUAGUAUAUGGUUUUAUAUUUGGAGGGUAAAGUCUCCAAUUGGAGGGUAUUGUCCCCUCUAUGGCGUUGCUUUAAAAAUUUUUUUGACUCUUCUCACAUAUUUAUUAUUCCAGGUGAUGUUUAGGAUCAUUUUUGCCAAGUUCCAGAAACAAAUACUGUUGGGUAUUAAUUUUCGAUCAUUUUCUAAAGACUUGAAAUCUAUAUAAUAUUAAAUUGUUUUCCAGAAAUAUGGUAUUUCUCUUUAUUCCAUCUUGGUUUUUUGUGAUUGGUGUUUUUUUGUGGACAAGGGGGUGCCUCACCUACAGUAUGUGGAAGCUCCCAGGCCAGGGACUGAAACUGCUCCACAGCAGUGACAAUGGUCCAUGGCAGUGACAAUGCUCUAUACUUAACCUGCUGAGCCACACUGGAACUCCUUUUGGCAAUUUUUUUUUUCUUGUUAUGGCUGCACCUGCAGCCUAUGGAAGUUCGAUCCCUGGCCUUGCUCAGUGGGUUAAGGAUCCAGCGUUGCCGUGAGCUGUGGUGUAGGUCGCAGAUGCAGUUUGGAUCCCGUGUUGCUGUGGCUCUGGUGUAGGCCGGCGGCUACAGCUCUGAUUAGAUCCCUAGCUUGUGAACCUCCAUAUGCCUCGGGAGCGGCCCUCAAAAGGCAAAAAGACAAAAGAAAAAAAAAAAAAAAAGAAAAAAAAA